CCCUUAGAUGUUCUGGGCCGCACGCGCGCUACACUGACGAAGUCAGCGAGCAUGUCCUACGCCGACAGGUGCGGGGAAUCUUGUCAAACUUCGUCGUGAUGGGGAUUGAUUAUUGAAAUUCUUGAUCAUCAACGAGGAAUUCCUAGUAAGCGCAAGUCAGCAGCUUGCGUUGAUUACGUCCCUGCCCUUUGUACCCACCGCCCGUCGCUACUACCGAUUGAAUGGUUUAGUGAGAUCUUCGGAUUGGCGCCACUGCGGCUCAGCAAUGGGCUCGGUGGAUGCCGAAAAGUUGAUCAAACUUGAUCAUUUAGAGGAAGUAAAAGUCGUAACA
rnacentral:rRNA from 1 species